rnacentral:rRNA from 1 species
ACUCAAAUGAAUUGACGGGGACCCGCACAAGCGGUGGAACAUGUGGUUUAAUUCGAGGCAACGCGAAGAACCUUACCAGGAUUCGACAUGUCCCUUUUGGAUUCUUGAAAGAGAAUCCUUCAGUUCGGCUGGGGGGAACACAGGUGCUGCAUGGCUGUCGUCAGCUCGUGUCGUGAGAUGUUGGGUUAAGUCCCGCAACGAGCGCAACCCUCGUCUUCUGUUGCCAUCAGGUCAAGCUGGGCACUCUGAAGAAACUGCCGGUGAUAAGCCGGAGGAAGGUGGGGAUGACGUCAAGUCCUCAUGGCCCUUACAUCCUGGGCUACACACGUGUUACAAUGGCAGUGACAAUGCGUCGCGACCCCGCAAGGGAUAGCUAAUCGCAAAAAGCUGCCUCAGUUUGGAUUGUACUCUGCAACUCGAGUACAUGAAAUUGGAAUCGCUAGUAAUCGCGGAUCAGCACGCCGCGGUGAAUACGUUCCCGGGUCUUGUACACACCGCCCGU